rnacentral:rRNA from 1 species
CAUGUCCUUUUGAAAAUAAUUUAAGGUCUAAUCUGCCCACUGAAUGUUAAAUGGCCGCAGUAAUUUGACUGUGCUAAGGUAGCAUAAUCAUUAGUUUUUUAAUUGAAAGCUUGUAUGAAUGAUUGGAUGAAAUAAAAACUGUCUCAAAUUUAUUAUUUUAGAAUUUUAUUUUUAAGUUAAAAAGCUUAAAUAUCUUUAAAAGACGAGAAGACCCUAUAGAGUUUAAUAUAAAAUAAAUAAUUUAAAUUAUUAUUUAUAAAAUAUUAUUAUUUAUUUUAUAUUUUGUUGGGGUGAUAAAAAAAUUUAAUUAACUUUUUUUAUAUAUAUACAUUGAUUAAUGAAUUUUUGAUCCAUAAUUUAUGAUUAUAAGAUUAAAUUACCUUAGGGAUAACAGCGUUAUUUUUUUUUAGAGUUCAAAUCGAAAAAAAAGAUUGCGACCUCGAUGUUGGAUUAAAAUUUAAUUUUGGUGUAGAAGCUAAAAUAUUAAGUCUGUUCGACUUUUAAAAUUUUACAUGAUCUGAGU